rnacentral:rRNA from 1 species
UACGAAGGGGGCUAGCGUUGCUCGGAAUGACUGGGCGUAAAGGGCGCGUAGGCGGCGGACACAGUCAGAUGUGAAAUUCCCGGGCUCAACCUGGGGGCUGCAUUUGAUACGUGUUUGCUUGAGUGGGGAAGAGGGUCGUGGAAUUCCCAGUGUAGAGGUGAAAUUCGUAGAUAUUGGGAAGAACACCGGUGGCGAAGGCGGCUCUCUGGACCACAACUGACGCUGAGGCGCGAAAGCGUGGGGAGCAAACAGG